GACGAACGCUGGCGGCGUGCUUAACACAUGCAAGUCGAACGGAAAGGCCCUGCUUUUGUGGGGUGCUCGAGUGGCGAACGGGUGAGUAACACGUGAGUAACCUGCCCCUGACUUUGGGAUAACUUCAGGAAACUGGGGCUAAUACCGGAUAGGAGCUCCUGCUGCAUGGUGGGGGUUGGAAAGUUUCGGCGGUUGGGGAUGGACUCGCGGCUUAUCAGCUUGUUGGUGGGGUAGUGGCUUACCAAGGCUUUGACGGGUAGCCGGCCUGAGAGGGUGACCGGCCACAUUGGGACUGAGAUACGGCCCAGACUCCUACGGGAGGCAGCAGUGGGGAAUAUUGCACAAUGGGCGGAAGCCUGAUGCAGCAACGCCGCGUGCGGGAUGACGGCCUUCGGGUUGUAAACCGCUUUCGCCGGUGACGAAGCGUGAGUGACGGUAAUGGGUAAAGAAGCACCGGCUAACUACGUG
rnacentral:rRNA from 1 species